GUGGAUUUGGCAGCCUUCAAAGAGCGAAAGUCACAAGCGAAUGCUGCAACAUCCAUUGUAAAAUACUUGGCAGAAUAUGGUGGGAGUGACACAGUGGACACGUUUUCCCGGAUAAUGAAGACGGUGUUGACAACAAAUCUGGCCCGCCAAUACAACCUAAAGGAAACCAAACAAAAAAAGAAACUGGACAGACUCCACUUGAUAAACAUCUUUUUCAGAUGUCAAUAAUUGAACCCAGCAACACACUUUAGAACCGCAAGGAAAUGGAGGGGGCCAUAUAGAAGUGGCUUUCCGAGUCGCGGAGUCGUGAGGUUGGCCGCAAAGACCGAGCAAGAGUCACUCCGAUGCUUCCGGAGUAGAAUGUUGACUUAUUUACUUACCAUAAAAUUUACGAUUCCACGAACCACGAACAUACGGAUUUACGACUCAGAAUUAAACCAGCAAAACUUGUCAGACUAUUUUUCAAAUUGAUAAUAUACAAUAUGUAUGCUUCUAUUGUUUUAUCAUAAACACAUCAAUGUCGUGUGACAUGUUAUGUAGUUUGUAUGCAAAAUGUAUCACAAUAAUGUAAUAAUGAGAUAUCUCCAACUUUUCCCCUAAAUUUUCAUAUCAUUAAGGGCUUCAAGAAGGGCAUUUCUUAUCUAUAUUUAUAGGCAAAUCCAUGUUGCUUUUACUUUUUUGUAUAAACAUAAGACAAACUGUCCAUGACUAAUAAGAGACCCAUCAACAAGACAAAUAUGUUUAGUUCACAUUUGGAUGAUUGUUCUAAAGAAGACUCUUAAUAAGCGAAACCUGUUGACAUUGAAUAAUUAUCAUAAUAUCUCAGAAUGAUGUCGGUUUUUGUUUUACUAUAA